GAGUCCAUGUUUUACUAAUAGAGUCCAUGUUUUACUAAUCGGGUCCAGUCCAUGUUUUACUUAUGAGUCCAGUCCAUGUUUUACUACAUGCCUCUCAACUUACUGUCUUACUUGAGAUUCUCCAUAAAGUAUAUGCAUGUGAAAAAUGUAAAAAUGUUUUGCAAUCUUGUUGCUUCUACAUAUAUUCCUCAUGAUCCUGAAUCCCGAGAUCUCACAUUUUUCCAGACCUGUCCCAUACUGUAUAGGCUGGUUUACAUUAUCAAAGUUUCUGUAAUCACAGUAGGAAUAUUACACUAGCAAUUUUGAAUGGUUUGUUAAAGGGUCAUGAUCAACCACAAUGCAAUGCGC